UACGAAGGGGGCUAGCGUUGCUCGGAAUCAGCUGGGCGUAAAGCGCACGUAGGCGGAUUGAUUGAAGUCAGGGGUGAAAUCCUGGAGCUCAACGUACCAGAACUGCCUUUGAUACUGAAGAUCUUGAGUUCGGGAGAGGUGAGUGGAACUGCGAGUGUAGAGGUGAAAUUCGUAGAUAUUCGCAAGAACACCAGUGGCGAAGGCGGCCUCACUGGCCCGAUACUGACGCUGAGGCACGGAAAGCGUGGGGAGCAAACAGG
rnacentral:rRNA from 1 species